AAUCAACGCUGGCGGCGUGCCUCAGACAUGCAAGUCGAACGAUUAAAGCUCUCUUCGGAGAGUGCAUAGAGUGGCGCACGGGUGAGUAACACGUAAGUAAUCUACCUUUGAGUGGGGAAUAACGUCCGGAAACGGACGCUAAUACCGCAUAAUGCAGCGGCAUCGCAAGAUGACAGUUGUUAAAGAUUUAUCGCUUGAAGAGGAGCUUGCGGCAGAUUAGCUAGUUGGUAAGGUAAUGGCUUACCAAGGCUACGAUCUGUAACCGGUCUUAGAGGACGGUCGGUCACACUGACACUGAAUAACGGGUCAGACUCCUACGGGAGGCAGCAGUCGGGAAUUUUGGGCAAUGGGCGAAAGCCUGACCCAGCAACGCCGCGUGAAGGAUGAAGUAUUUCGGUAUGUAAACUUCGAAAGAAUAGGAAGAAUUAAUGACGGUACUAUUUAUAAGGUCCGGCUAACUACGUG
rnacentral:rRNA from 1 species